GUGGAAGUCUUUGGAUCUUUGAGAAAAUGGCUCUGUCUAUCCACAAGUGAUAUCGAUGUAAGCAUUUCCAUUUCCUCCUUUUCUCUAGAUUUCUAGCUUGGCAUUUCACUUGCAUUCCAUUGUGUUUAAUUGCUGGAGCAUAAUACUUACUUUGUUAAACAAUACUAUUCUGCUCUAUGCUACUAUGGAAAUUUGCUUGGCAGUUCACAUGUGUUGUCUGUAACAUGUCUUCUUUUACUACAAUACAUGGUACAGAUCUGAUCAACCACUAGCAUGAGUUUCACUCUCGGCUUUCGCAUAGACUAAAGAGAUAGUAAGUUUUAGUGAUUGAAACAUUCUUUUUUACAAUUUAUAAACUUAUUUUCUGUGACCAGUAUUGGUCAUUAGACAGCCGCAGCCUGUAGUUUCAUCACCUAUUAGUUCUGGUCAUACUACUGUGGCAACAGUCAUUCCCAUUGAAACUGAAGUUUUACGUUCAGUAAACAGAUGAUAUCUCAAAGACUGCAAUGUGAAGCUCCAACGAAGUUCUGAUAAAGGUAACCUUCUGUUCAGCAAUCUCCUAUGAUAAAGGUAACCUUCUGUUCAGCAAUCUCUUAUGUAUAUAGUGCUUUCCGUCAAACUAUGAUUUGAGUGAAAAUAAUUUUUUUGCUCCCUUUCAUAAUUUGGUGUGUACCAAGCGAUAAUUCACACAUUAAUGGUUUUGACACACUGAUUGCUUUUAAAACAAAGUGGUGCUAGAACAUGUCUCAAGAAAAGAAAUUGUACUGAAUUCAAGUGUAUUGAGUAUUAGAAAAGAAAUUUCAAGUCAUAGGGAGCAAUGCCUGACUCAUCUGUUCAACAUGAGAGUGCUAUAGAUCAUAUUAUUGACGUCAUCAAGGAGAAAAUGCUUCACUGAUCUAUUGAAUAGGAGACUGCUAGAAUGAUGACAUCACAAAGUAAACUCUAAAUUUCUGUGGGGAAGGGUGGGGGCAUCAAGGCAUCGCAAGUGGGAACCUGCAAGGUGCGUCAGCUGUCGACAGUACUUUACUUCUAGUUAUAAUCAUAUUGCAUCAGCAGCAUCAUGGAUUAUGUAAAAUGAAGAGCAAGGACAGCUAACUCACAAGGACAUGAGUUUGCUUGCAACAGCUGAACAUGACCAAUACCUUCGAUAAUUAUGUGAACCAUUUCAUAACUUUGUAGUCUAUUUGAAGAUAGUGCCUCGUGAACUAAUUGGUUGUCAUUUUGUGCAACAGAUAUUUCAUUAUAUUCUCUCUUUUUUUGUGAAUUAUUUCAUUCUAUGCUUGACUAUGGAAAUAUAUAUUGUCUUUUGGUUGUUUUAAUAUGCA